UUUCCUACGGGGCGCAGCAGUGGGGAAUAUUGCACAAUGGGGGAAACCCUGAUGCGGCAACGCCGCGUGAGUGAAGAAGGUUUUCGGAUUGUAAAGCUCUGUUAGCAGGGAAGAGGAAGGACGGUACCUGCAGAGGAAGCCACGGCUAACUACGUGCCAGCAGCCGCGGUAAUACGUAGGUGGCAAGCGUUGUUCGGAAUAACUGGGCGUAAAGGGAGCGUAGACGGUUAUGUAAGUCUGGAGUGAAAGCCCGGGGCCCAACCCCGGGACUGCUUUGGAAACUGUGUAACUGGAGUACAGGAGGG
rnacentral:rRNA from 1 species